GGCUUAACACAUGCAAGUCGAGGGGUAACGAGAGGAAAGCUUGCUUUCCUUGUCGACGACCGGCGCACGGGUGAGUAACGCGUAUCCAACCUGCCCCCAACUAAGGAAUAACCUUGCGAAAGUAAGACUAAUACCUUAUAAUUUCCUCAGAUGUCAUCUGACGAGGAAUAAAGAUUUAUCGGUUGUGGAUGGGGAUGCGUCUGAUUAGCUUGUUGGCGGGGUAACGGCCCACCAAGGCAACGAUCAGUAGGGGUUCUGAGAGGAAGGUCCCCCACAUUGGAACUGAGACACGGUCCAAACUCCUACGGGAGGCAGCAGUGAGGAAUAUUGGUCAAUGGGCGGAAGCCUGAACCAGCCAAGUAGCGUGAAGGAUGACGG
rnacentral:rRNA from 1 species